rnacentral:rRNA from 1 species
UACAGAGGUCUCGAGCGUUAGGCGGAAUCACUGGGCUUAAAGCGUGUGUAGGCGGAUCCGUAAGUACUUUGUGAAAUCCCACAGCUUAACUGUGGAACUGCUUGGUAUACUGCGGGUCUUGAGCCACUCAGGGGCGAGCGGAACAAAUGGUGGAGCGGUGAAAUGCGUAGAUAUCAUUUGGAACGCCAAUGGUGAAAACAGCUCGCUGGGGGUGUGCUGACGCUGAGGCACGAAAGCUAGGGUAGCGAACGGG